rnacentral:sRNA from 2 species
CGCCCGUCAAACCACGAAAGUCAGCAAUACCCAAAACCGGUGGCCUAACCUGCAAAGGAGGGAGCCGUCUAAGGUAGGGUUGAUGAUUGGGGUUAAGUCGUAACAAGGUAUCCCUACCGGAAGGUGGGGAUGGAUCACCUCCUUUCUAAGGAGCAUAACAGUAAGAAUAACUUACAAAAACUCUACUCUCUCGUCAUAUUCAGUUUUGAAGGAUUUUCCUUCUAAUAAUAUUUAUUAGGGCCUAUAGCUCAGCUGGUUAGAGCGCACGCCUGAUAAGCGUGAGGUCGAUGGUUCAAGUCCAUUUAGGCCCACCAUUAUAAGGCUGCUAUAGUAGUCUGGUAAAUGAGAUCUUUGAAAAGUAGAUAAAUUCUGUCGUAACAAAUAAUAAAAAUGUUUAAUUAGCAAUAAUUAAGCGCGUAAAAAGGUUAAGAAAGUAAGGGCACACAGUGAAUGCCUAGGCACUAAGAGCCGAAGAAGGACGCAACUAACGGCGAAACGCCACGGGAAGCAGUAAGUAUGUGAAGAUCCGUGGGUAUCCGAAUGAGGGAACUCGGCAUGUAGAAGACAUGUCACGUCGAAAGACGAGGGAAACGCAGUGAAUUGAAAUAUCUUAGUAACUGCAGGAAAAGAAAGUAAAAACGAUUCUGCGAGUAGCGACGAGCGAAAGUGGAGGAGCCCGAUACCAUAAUAGUUACAAAACUUUAUGUGAGAAGAACAACCUGGGAAGGUUGACCAAAGAAGGUGAAAGUCCUGUAAACGAAGCAUAAAGACUAGGGUAUCAAAGAGUACAGCGGGACACGAGAAAUCUUGCUGGAACUAUAAGGAGGACCAUCUCCUAAGGCUAAAUACUACUUAGUGACCGAUAGUGAACCA